rnacentral:rRNA from 1 species
GACGAACGCUGGCGGCGUGCUUAACACAUGCAAGUCGAACGGAAAGGCCCUGCUUUUGUGGGGUGCUCGAGUGGCGAACGGGUGAGUAACACGUGAGUAACCUGCCCUUGACUUUGGGAUAACUUCAGGAAACUGGGGCUAAUACCGGAUAGGAGCUCCUGCUGCAUGGUGGGGGUUGGAAAGUUUCGGCGGUUGGGGAUGGACUCGCGGCUUAUCAGCUUGUUGGUGGGGUAGUGGCUUACCAAGGCUUUGACGGGUAGCCGGCCUGAGAGGGUGACCGGCCACAUUAGGACUGAGAUACGGCCCAGACUCCUACGGGAGGCAGCGGUGGGGAAUAUUGCACAGUGGGCGGAAGCCUGAUGCAGCAACGCCGCGUGCGGGAUGACGGCCUUCGGGUUGUAAACCGCUUUCGCCUGUGACGAAGCGUGAGUGACGGUAAUGGGUGAAGAAGCACCGGCUAACUACGUG